GCGCCUGUACUCCAACGGCAGAGAGGCUAGUCCUAGGAACUAGUGGUUGUCAGUUCGAAUCUGACCAGGCGCA
rnacentral:tRNA from 1 species